AACACGAUAUAAAUCGUUCCAUAUUUAACAUGCCUACAAGUUGCUUAUUACAAUUCAGCUGAAUAAAUUGACAAACCAUAAUAAAAUUUAAAUUAACUCUUAAUUCAAUGGAAAUAGUAACCGUAUCAUUCCUAUCCCCCAGUUUCUUGUAUACAUCUAAGACAAUAGACAGAUUUUGUGGCAACACAUUUUUCUUUCGAGGCGAUGACAAAGAAACUGGAGAAUUGUGCCAAAUUCAAAUAAUCUUGGUUAAUGAAAAAUUUGUAAAAUAUGGCCCUAAAUUCAUCUCUAAAUGCGAAUCGCUACUUGGAAAACAACAUCCAAACGUGGCUCAAGUGUUGGAAGUGCGCUUAUUAAAGCUUGCACCGUCUGACUUUCAAGAAUUGAUGGAACGGAACUGGGAAUUUAAGGAAAGUUUGAAUAUUUACGAAAUUAAUUUUUGGCAAUUUUAAUUCAAGAACUUUUUGGUGAAAUAUUAUUGUCACCCAAAAAUAAAUAGUUUUAAAAUUUCAUAACCAAUAUUACUUGAGGGGAACACUUGAUCUAUAUCUUCCUAUAUUUUUAAAGACUAUUUCACAAAUCAUACUGGUAAACAACAUUUUUUACGAGAGUUGGAAUACUUGUGAAAUUAGGUUUUUUUUAUUCCGUAAAAUUUGGAUGUGAAAACUAUCUUUAAAUUUUUCCCAAAACGUUAAUACAUAAUUUCCCUCACUAUUAAUUCACAGAUGGUAGUAAUUUAUCUCUAAUUUUCAAAGUCAUUGUGGAAACUGUAGGGAUAAUUGUCCAAAUAAUUUUGUGUCAACCUUAUUGGAAUUAUUUUGGCUAAGAAAUUUCGACGUUGAGAAAUCGUUGAUUAUUUUGUGAUGUUAUUAUUGAGAAUCGGAUAAUAAUAAAUAGAUUGUAUUUAUCUGAUGUACCCAGUCCCAGUCGAAGCCAUUCCAAACUUUGGGUUCACAAACCUUUCUUUCCUUAACGGAUUCUUCGUCCAGCAUAGUGGUCUCAACGGUUCCCGGUUCUCUCGGAACCGAACCCGAUCCGGACACGGAUCCGCUCUACGGUUCGGUUCUGUUUAUGCGAAGAACCGAACCGAACCGAAACUUUCGUAAACGGUUCUGUCCCGGUUCCAAGUUUUUGUAGACCGAACCGAACCGAACGGUUCCGGGCGGACUCGAUUUUUUCUCGAUUUACGGGGUAUAAUGAAUCAAGUGCUUGCGAACUUAUUCAAAACUUUACAAAUCAAAACAAAAAUCUUCUCGAAGUUUGGUCGUUAUUCCUACCAUAACAUCAUAGCGGAAUUAAAUUGUCAUAAAGAUGAGCCAUGCUGAAACCGAUGUUGAGGAAUUCUCUCAGGAUGAUCUUCCUUUGGACAGUCCGCCCAGUGACAGUUCACAGCCUUCAAGAAAACGCAGGUCACCGGUGUAUUUACAUUUUGAUUUCGACCAAGAAUCGUCGUCUUUUAAUUGCAAGUACUGCAGCAGGUCAUACCAAAAACAAAAAGAUGGAUCAACCAGCGUAUUAUGGAAACAUAUUCGGGUGAUGCAUUCAGGUGUUAUUGGAACUAAUCAAAAUCAGGCGGCAGUGAACGGAUUAUUAAACCCAGUUGAACCUGAGCCAUUUACAACCGAGGGGCUACGGAGCAGAAUUGUUGAGUUUAUAGUUGUUGAAAGCCAGUCUUUCCAGCUCGUAGAAAAACCAGCUUUUCAAAAUCUUUUGAAGUACUGUAACCGUGCCGCAGAAUUUACAUGUGCCAACACGGUAUGUGUUAUCGGUUGUCGGAAUCACCCCCGUCGGUUGUCGGAAAUCACCUCGGUUGUCACCCUCGAGCAGUUGUCAGAUAUCAGAUAUCGGAAUUAUCGGUUAUCACCCUUAUCGGUUGUCACCCUAGCAGUUAUCGGAAUGCCCAUUUAUUUUUAAACCCCCCCGGCCCCCCUCCCAAAUUCUCAGGGUACCCCAAACACCGUCUCCCGUUGCCCCAAAUUUCCCCGACCACCCCCAAAUACCGUCUCACGUUACCCCAAAUGUCCUUGAUCACCCCCAAUCACCAUCUCACGUUACCCCAAAUGUCCUUGAUCACCCGCAAUCACCGUCUCACGUUGCCCCAAAUGUCCCCGACCAUCCCCAAACACCGUCUCAAGUUACCCCAAAUGUCCCCGACCAUCCCCAAACACCGUCUCACGUUAGCCCAAAUGUCCCCGAUCACCCCCAAACACCGUCUCACGUUGCCCCAAAUGUCCCCGACCAUCCCCAAACACCGUCUCAAGUUACCCCAAAUGUCCCCGAUCACCCCCAAACAGCGCCUCACGUUACCCCAAAUGUCCCCGAUCACCCCCAAACACCGUCUCAAGUUACCCCAAAUGUCCCCGAUCACCCCCAAACCCCAUCUCACGUUACCCCAAAUGUCCCCGAUCACCCCCAAACACCGUCUCACGUUACCCCAAAUGUUUCGGACGACCCCCAAACCCCGUCUCAUAAGGUUAGACUUAGGUGAGUUUUAAGUAGUAUAUGCUAUGUUAUCUAAUUGACCCCAAGUUUGAACUUGGCAUAUGUGCAGUGGACUGCAGCUGCUUACUAAACUCAUUUAUAAAGGAUUCACAUGUAUUGUCAUAUGAAAAAUUAUAAGUAAAGCACUUGAAAAACUA